GUCAUAUGCUUGUCUCAAAGAUUAAGCCAUGCAUGUCUCAGUACAAGCCAAAUUAAGGUGAAACCGCGAAAGGCUCAUUAAAUCAGUUAUGGUUCCUUAGAUCGUACCCACAAUUACUUGGAUAACUGUGGUAAUUCUAGAGCUAAUACAUGCAAACAGGGCUCCGACCAGAAACGGAAGGAGUGCUUUUAUUAGAUCAAAACCAAUCGGUGGCGGGUUUACGCUCGUCAUCGUACAACUUGGUGACUCUGAAUAACUUUCCGCUGAUCGCACGGUCAUCGCACCGGCGACGCAUCUUUCAAAUGUCUGCCUUAUCAACUGUCGAUGGUAGGUUCUGCGCCUACCAUGGUUGUAACGGGUAACGGGGAAUCAGGGUUCGAUUCCGGAGAGGGAGCCUGAGAAACGGCUACCACAUCCAAGGAAGGCAGCAGGCGCGCAAAUUACCCACUCCCGGCACGGGGAGGUAGUGACGAAAAAUAACGAUACGGGACUCAUCCGAGGCCCCGUAAUCGGAAUGAGUACACUCUAAACCCUUUAACGAGGAUCAAUUGGAGGGCAAGUCUGGUGCCAGCAGCCGCGGUAAUUCCAGCUCCAAUAGCGUAUAUUAAAGUUGUUGCGGUUAAAAAGCUCGUAGUCGAAUUUGUGUCUCGCGCCGCCGGUUCAUCGUCCGCGGUGUUAACUGGCGAGUCGCGAGACGUCCUGCCGGUGGGCUUAGCUCGCAAGGGCGGCGGCCCAACUCAAUCCUGCCGCGGUGCUCUUAAUUGAGUGUCGAGGUGGGCCGGCACGUUUACUUUGAACAAAUUAGAGUGCUUAAAGCAGGCUAAAACUUCGCCUGAAUAUUGUGUGCAUGGAAUAAUGGAAUAGGACCUCGGUUCUAUUUUGUUGGUUUUCGGAACCCCGAGGUAAUGAUUAAUAGGAACGGAUGGGGGCAUUCGUAUUGCGACGUUAGAGG
rnacentral:rRNA from 1 species